GUCAGUUUUUAUAUGCAUUUAAUAUUUUUUUAAAUAGUUUAAAAGCUGUCAAAAUAAAAUGGUGAAUUGAGUUUAAAUUAACCAGAAAAGAUAUAAACGUAAUCUUUGGGAUUCAACUUGUAAGGAUGUUCCAAGAACCACUUAGUUGGAGAAGGAAAACUGUGCCGUUCAUUAACAAGUUCCGUGCUUUAUAAUAUAUAUAAAGUUGGUAAGGACGUGAAGAAAACAGGUUUGUAAAUGAUGUUGUACAUCAUGCAGAUAGCUCAGAAGAAGAAGCAGAAAUGUUUGACUGGAAAUAUAAACGAUGUUGUACAUAAUGCAGAAAGCUUAGGCAAAAAAGAGAUUGGUGAAAUGGAGAAUGAGACUACGGUGAAAAAAAUAAUUAAUAUCAAAAAGUAAAUGGUACUUUGUUUGACAUCUACCUGUUUCUACAGAUACAGUGCAGUCGCACUUAUAAAUAGGCUUGAUGUUUUUUUGGAUUGAAUAUGUUGUAUUGAUGGUUCUUUUUAACUUGUUAAAACUUGAAGUUAUUAUCAAAUUUAUAUAUACUAUUUUUAUCAAAUAGUUAAUAUAAAAUA